UCAUCAGGUGCUCUGGUAUGUUUUUCCCGACACCUGUUGGAGUGCACUAAUUAUGUGGCUGCGCUCUUCUAGAAAAUGCAAUUUUUAUGUUAUUUUUAAUGUGUCGUCAGUGUUUAAAAAUAUUGCGCAAUAUUGUGUAAAUUUAGGUAUUCUAAAGUUCCGAAAAUCAAUCGCAUAUAUCAGCUGCUGGUGACGUACUAUAGUUGUCACGACUUUCACUACUAAACUGGUUUUCAAAAUUCCACUAUUGACCGUUUUGAAUGAUGCGAUUCCACAAAACGUGAAUCAUAAGAAAAGCACGGGUAUGAUUCAUUCUUUGAAACUUCACUUUUCAUCAUGAGUAAUAGAAAUGGACCGCCAUUGUAUUUGGCUUUGAGUUUCAAAAUGCCUUUAAAAAUAAGACAUGACUCCUUGUAAGUAUUCAUCAAAUUAAUUAGAGUUUAAUCACUUAUCACGCCAUCUAGUUCAAUGCACGCCCUGUUUGAACUGCAUUAGUUCUUGACGUCAUUAUCAGCACGUUUUGUUUGUCCAGUGUCCUCAUCUUUUGUUUUCUGGAGAGAACCCCAAACAUUUUGUUCUUGCAGGAAUUUUAAGUCAAGGUUAUACAAAAGUUGGUGGUUCAGUUCUGAAGAAUGUUAAGUUUUCGAGAAAAAAAAAACGUUUUUCUGUAAACACAAGUUCAUAGCGCUUUUUGGCAAUCGCGUUUAAAACUAAUUUUGAUGCAAUUGUUUAAAAAACGCGCUCCGAAUUUUUGUUUUAUUUAUAUAUGUACAAAGAAAACAAUUGCGCGAUACUUUGGGACUUCUGCAAAGCUUUGUAUGAGAUGCAGAAAUCAUCUGUUCAAAAUUAUUAUACCAUUGUUUUGUGUUAUUUUAUUUGAAUUAAUAUAGCCAAUGCUGGUAGCCUUGUAGUGCUAUUAAGGAAAAAGGCAAUGGAUAUUCGUGCAAUGCCUACUAAAAACGUAUUUAGCUUUAGUAAUUAUUUACGGGUAAAGGGUGUCGGAUUGGUAACAGGCAACAUAGUGUUUACGAAUACAUAUUCAGGUUUAGAACUAAAAUUCAAAUUUUGUGACUGAUUGAAAAAGAUCCUAUUUAAUUAAAAAAAAUUGCAAAGAGUAAAUUAUGGAUAUUAUGGCUAACAAAGCGGAUUUUACAAGGUUAUCUGGGAUUUGUUAAAAUUAACAAGCUAGGAUGGAAAUUUACGUGUGUCAAUUCGGCACGUUUUGUACAAUGGGUUUUGCAAUUUUUACAGCUGUGAUGCAUUUGGCUGCUAGUGUUCUAACGUUUUUAAGUUUUAAUUGUCACGAAAAAGGUAAUAAAAUUACUGAAUAUCAUGGAUUUUCGUCAGAGAUUUGAGAUUUAUUGUUAGGAGACCUUUUGAAGUGUACCAGUGCCAUGUGAUACUUCCAACGCCAUAAGCCCACCGAUGAUGGAAAGAGGGAAGAAUGAAAACUCGUCUAAUCUCCCACUGUUAAAGAUCUUUAAAUCCCAUAUAAAAGGAAUGCAAUUUUGACUGUUCGGUAAGUAAAACCCCCUUUUCAACGACCUCCCUGAAAAUGAGGCUAUUACGUAUAAUUUAGACGCAUGAUGUAGUACCCAUUAAAAACACCCGUGCGUAAUGAAACAAAUUAGAAUAGAUCAUGUACCUACGUUUGGAAAUUUGCCUUAUUUUCAAUUCAAAAUUCACGGAGGUCGUAGAAAAAGUGUGGUACUUAAUUUUCGUAUUACAGGUUCGUCGAAUUGCCGCAGCAAUUGUCAAACUAACACUUUGCAUCUUUAGUACUUAUACUGUUGGGAAGGCCCAAUGAAGUAUGUAGAAUAAUUUAAUUACUUUUUUGAUCAAUAAACAAAACAACGCCAUCGGGAAUCGCAACAAUCAAACUUUUUCCAUUUUGGGAUGGGUGUGUUUAUAGUUUACCAGAUUGUGGGGUUCUGCGAUAGAACAUUGUGAAUAUCCGUACUAAUACAUUCGUAUCCGAGGAAGUAAUAUGGAUUUGAUGGAUGUGUAGGCUGUACUGCCUCUAAGUUUAUACGCUGAGCAAUAUAACAUGCCAUUAAGCGUAACAACACACUAGUCGAUUUUCGCCGAACGGGCCGCCACCGCCGCUGGGGUUAUACCUAUAUUACACGAAGUCAUUUUUACGUUCCUAUUAAGAUUGUUCAUUGCUUCCUCAUUUGGGACAAAAUAAAAUAAUACCCUUGUUUAUUCAUGAAAAACAACAGGUCCUUGUCGAAAUCAAUCUUAUAAUGAUGUGACAGGUGACUGAAUCGCUGGUCGUGUGCACUGUGCCCCGCCCCGCUGUUCAGCAGGCGCGGCUAAGCAUCGCUGCGAAGUCGCCUAGUGUGAAGGGGCACAAAUUUAAUUAUGUGCGACACAUGCCCCCGGAGAUAUGUGCAGUUUUGCAGCUACUUCCACGGGUAUUGCAUCAUAUACUGCAUGACAGAAUUGCGCAAGUUGCAUCAUCUUUGUAUUCCGUAAACAUUUCGUCCCCACGCUGCGGAACUCAAAAACAAGUAAACUAGAUGGAACUUACUUGAACAGUUGUCUACAUAUCCCAGGCGGUAUCCAUAGCACUGUGGUAAAGUUGCAUUACAAUACCCCGGCGAUAUGUAACGCAUCAACAGCAAGUUAUUGUUUUAAGCUACCGCAGUCAACGUGAGGCGUAUUUUGGCAAAAGUUUAAAUUACACCCCUACAAACUUCAUCCAAUGAGACUGUAGCAGUUGUAAACGAAAUGUUUAUUGGAAAACUGAUAUCGCGUCGGGGGGACAUUCCGUGGUCUCGCCGGAGCCCUGAUCUCACGCCACUGGAAUUUUUUUCUGGGUGUAUCUCAAGAGCCGCGUUUACGCUAAUAAAGCGAUGACGAUUGCCCAGCUCAAAAACAACAUUCGCGAGGAAAUGUCCGCUAUCCCACGAGCGAUGUGCCAGCAAGUUUUCACGAAUUUGAGGUCUAGAUUCGAGGAGUGUGUACGUUUAGAUGGCACACAUCUCGGUGACGUUAUUUUAAACAAAUAAAAUUCGUAUGUGUUUACUUUUUUAUUAUAAAUAUAAAUUUUCCUUCCUGAGAUUUUUCCGUCUGUGUAGGUUUAUAGGUUAUGUAGGUAUAUUUGUAUAUAACAAUAUGCACCAGUUCACCACACUAAUUACCUGUGCGCCGAAGCGCCCCCCUUUUUGGAUAAGUACCUCCGCCGAAACGCCUCGUCCUCCGAAACGUCUCGCCGCCAGAACGCCUUCCCGCAGAAACAUCGCGUACCGUGUAGGUCCGGAUUUGGGCUGAGGCUUGUGACUAUGAUGACUAUAUUUUGGCGACCGAGUUAUUGGGGGAAAUUCGUAUUUCGUGCAGAAUGUUAUGGUUGAAGAAUGUAGAUCUCUAGGUUGUGCCACAAUUACCCCGCAUAAGAAAGGUUCAAGAGAAUUGGCGUCAACAAAUUAUUGAGGUCACGGACUGGACGUCGUCGACGAAAAAUACCAUUACCUAUUACAUAUUUGUAAUCAUUGUAUAAAACCCGAAAUAAAUAAAAAAGUUAGCA